rnacentral:tRNA from 1 species
AGGGGCGUAGCUCAAUUGGUAGAGCGCCAUUCUCCAAAAAUGGAUGUUCUCGGUUCGAGUCCGGGCGCCCCUGCUA